CACUUUGUUGUUGUUUUGGCUCUGUAUUCCAGCACUUUGGAUUUGAACCGAUACAAUGACUAUGAGGCACAAAUAUCAUAACCCCCCCUUGUAAUGGUGAGAGGUUAGCAUUACAAUAACAGGGGAGGUUAGCAUUUCAUAUCAUACCCCUACGACAUGCUAAACUCUCACCAUUACAAUAACAGGGGAGGUUAGCAUUUCAUAUCAUACCCCUACGACAUGCUAAACUCUCACCAUUACAAUAACAGGGGAGGUUAGCAUUUCAUAUCAUACCCCUACGACAUGCUAAACUCUCACCAUUACAAUAACAGGGGAGGUUAGCAUUUCAUAUCAUACCCCUACGACAUGCUAAACUCUCACCAUUACAAUAACAGGGGAGGUUAGCAUUUCAUAUCAUACCCCUACGACAUGCUAAACUCUCACCAUUACAAUAACAGGGGAGGUUAGCAUUUCAUAUCACACCCCUACGACAUGCUAAACUCUCACCAUUACAAUAACAGGGGAGGUUAGCAUUUCAUAUCAUACCCCUACGACAUGCUAAACUCUCACCAUUACAAUAACAGGGGAGGUUAGCAUUUCAUAUCAUACCCCUACGACAUGCUAAACUCUCACCAUUACAAUAACAG